CCGAAGUUAUCAGACCCACGCCUUAUUUUGCAGAAAACUUGUCUGCAAUAGAAGUCUUCUUCCAACAGGACUCCAAUUUUGUUAUUCUUCUUCCUACAAGCGAUUUGCAUCCUGAAGAUCUUCUUCUGAUUAUGAAUAAUAAAGCUCCUGCUGCGUCCCUAUCUUCUUGCGAAUAAUUGUGGAUAUCAUUUCAUGGAUACAUAUACAAUAAGAACUCAUCUUAUAGUUAUCCAUAUAUAUUACGCAGCAACCGAACUAAUAAAUCCAAAUUUCAGAUUCUUCAAGGUUAUCAGCUGCUAUCUCUGAUAAGAAUUCGUAGGUUAUCUCCAAGUAAUUAAGUAGAAAGAGACUUCUAUUCAACAUAAGAAACCACCACUAUAUAAAGAGUGCUAAAGCUCAAAAUUUUUUCUUCAAACUCAAGCUUGGAUCGCAGAAAUCCUCUUCCUCUUUCAAUUUUCUUUCGUUGACAACGUUGAGGUUGAAUCUUGAUAACUGGAGAUCCAGUAUAUAAUCACUUGACUUUAAAUGGAGUAGAGUGUGGAGAGAAGCGGCGGCGGGAUGGGCUCCUUGUUGCUGCCCUGUUUUACCGGAGCUGCGUGCGUAGCGGCAGUCCCCAGAAGCGGCGGCGGUGCGGCUCUCCUCCUCGCUGGUGCUAUCCGUCGGAGAAUGUGUUGUGCUUCCAGCUAGGGAGACAAAUGCGGAGCUUGGAGGUUAAACUCGCCGGAUUACCAUCAAUGGCGUCGACAUUUAUGCAGCAAUUCGCAAAGAAGAAGACCUUCGGGAAGCGAUCGUCGAAGAAGUAUUUGGAGGAGGCGCUGUACAAGAAGCUGUUCAGCGAUGGCGGUGAUGGAGGAAGCAGCGUGGAACCAACUGACGAACCACCAGCUCCAAUUCAUUCGUUCCGCCCUGAGAUGAGUAUUAGGAGGGGAGUACUUGCAUCAGAAUGCUAAGAGGCUAUGUAGCAGUUCUUCAAGCGAGGGAGAGAGCAGCAGGAAAAAAAGUUGAUGCUUCCAAAGAGAAAAGAACUCGUCAAUCUGAGAUGAGUGCAUAUUUCUAUUUUCGAGAUACUUUCCGCUCAGAUGGUAUGGAAUUGCUUUGACGACAUGGUCCCAAGGGAUCAUAUUUCUCUACGAAGUCUUCACCAUCAUAGUAUCCAUGACGCUUUAAAUGAUUCCGGCUUCUGAUGGAUGGCGUUGCAAAAAAAAGAUUUGAGAUUUGAGUUCAGCUUUGAAUGCGUCAGUAGAUACUAAGAAGAAGGCAGGAGCUCGAAGAUAGACCUUUGUCCGUCAUCACUGCAGUCUUAAAGUUGCGUGUGGGAAAACUAUGAAAUUCAUUGCUUUGCCUUGCUUGAUUAGUUGAUCUUGAUAUAAAACUCAACUCAAAUCAUAAAAUUUUGUUUCUUUUGCAAUGUAUCUUGAACGCAGAAGCAUAAUAAGAUUCUCCA